rnacentral:rRNA from 1 species
GAUGAACGCUGGCGGCGUGCCUAAUACAUGCAAGUCGAGCGAACAGACGAGGAGUUUGCUCCUCUGACGUUAGCGGCGGACGGGUGAGUAACACGUGGAUAACCUACCUAUAAGACUGGGAUAACUUCGGGAAACCGGAGCUAAUACCGGAUAAUAUAUUGAACCGCAUGGUUCAAUAGUGAAAGACGGUUUUGCUGUCACUUAUAGAUGGAUCCGCGCCGCAUUAGCUAGUUGGUAAGGUAACGGCUUACCAAGGCAACGAUGCGUAGCCGACCUGAGAGGGUGAUCGGCCACACUGGAACUGAGACACGGUCCAGACUCCUACGGGAGGCAGCAGUAGGGAAUCUUCCGCAAUGGGCGAAAGCCUGACGGAGCAACGCCGCGUGAGUGAUGAAGGUCUUCGGAUCGUAAAACUCUGUUAUUAGGGAAGAACAGAUGUGUAAGUAACUAUGCACGUCUUGACGGUACCUAAUCAGAAAGCCACGGCUAACUACGUG